rnacentral:lncRNA from 1 species
CCAGCACCCGCGCUCCAGCAAACCAGAGCGGGACCCACCAACAUGCACAACCUGCUCCGCACACAAUGGCCCCGACAACCUCCGACCAGCAGAGCGCAACCCAACACAGGAGAACUCAGGAUGCCUGCCGUGAGGAUGACCAACAUACAGCAAAGCGGGCUACCAGAAAGCGUAACAGGCAGAGAACCCCGACAAGGAUCACCGCAGACGGAGCUUUGAUGGGGCACCAGUCCUACCCUCACCAUCGGUGCACCUGGCAAGCCUCCAUAUACCCUCACUACCGGGGUUUCCGUUUCCCAGAUGUGGGAGUCGGCUGACUGUGAUCGGGACACUGACCAAUACAGCUCCCGGCUAACCUGCAAAUUACAAGACUGGGAGAUGACCGCUCAAGACAGGGGCCGAGGCGCAGACACUCUGGUGGUCUUGAAACUUUUUAUGUUGCCUAGGUACCCUUUUACAAGCAGAGAAUGCCAUAGCUACCCGUUUAUUUAAAAAUUGUGGAUUACAUAUUAUAUGUCCCAUGGUUGAUGCCUAAGUUUCCCCCCCUUUCUUUUGUUCUCGCAUAAGCUGUCUUACUAAUUGUUAAUCUAUAUGAUUGCAUUCACCAUUAUUUUUACAUAAAUUAUUAGUUAUGUGAUGCCUCAUAGCGGCCUACAUAGGUUUCUAAUGCUGCCAGGGAGGCGCAGGCCUGAUGGGAUAACAACUGACCCCCUUUUUAUUUUAUAACUUAGCCCGGAACACUCCUGACCAGCAUAAUAGCUACCUGACGAUACAAUAACAGCCACGGCACACACCACGCAGAUUAAGCUUCCCGAUUACCAUCAACAUAUGAAUGCAAGUUAGUGGGCCCUACCCUAAUGCCUAGUUAGCUAUUAUGCAGCAUAAUACUCUUUUGGCUAGAUAGCACAACGAAUCUACUCACUGUUACGAGCAAAACUCUGCCAUGAGACCCUUUAUUGUUUUUUACUCGAAUCACUCUUAUAGAAGAUUGCUUAGAACUAGCAUGUUGACGCAGAGUGCAUCCCAGCAUAGCAUUUAGCUUAACUUUAUUCAUACACUUAGUAGAUAUGCACUCAGAUGACUGAAUACAAUAGCGAUACACAGUAUAAUGUUAACUAAGCUUGUUUCCUACCAUGUUAUUACUCAACUACCUUUAAACAUAAAAUUUGUGCCAGAUAUUGCAUGUACCCCUCUGUUAAACUGUCUACAAAGCGUUGGAGGAAUGCCGUUGGGGUACCUCACAACCGACUGUUAAAAGCCUAUGCACAACAAAAAUAAAGAAUUAAAAAAAA